GAUUAACGCUGGCGGCGUGCAUAACACAUUCAAGUCGAACGGACUUUAGCCUUCGGGCUAAAGUUAGUGGCGGACGGGUGAGUAACGCGUGAGCAACCUACCUUCUGAUGGGGGAUAACGUCUGGAAACGGACGCUAAUACCGCAUAAACCGAUGUUAUCGCAUGGUGAUAUCGGCAAAGAGAUAUCGUCAGGAGAUGGGCUCGCGUUGGAUUAGAUAGUUGGCGGGGUAAACGGCCCACCAAGUCAACGAUCCAUAGCCGGACUGAGAGGUCGGACGGCCACAUUGGAACUGAGAUACGGUCCAGACUCCUACGGGAGGCAGCAGUGGGGAAUAUUGGGCAAUGGGCGAAAGCCUGACCCAGCGACGCCGCGUGAAGGAAGAAGGUCUUCGGAUUGUAAACUUCAGUAGGCAGGGACGAAGAAAGCGACGGUACCUGCAGAGUAAGCCACGGCUAACUACGUG
rnacentral:rRNA from 1 species